rnacentral:pre_miRNA from 1 species
UUAGGUUUUCUUCAUUUUCUUCAAGGAUUAUUGUUGUUGAAGGUUGAUGGAGAUGAUAUGGAGAUGAAAAAGAGGAGAAG